CCUACGGGAGGCAGCAGUAAGGAAUAUUGGUCAAUGGACGAAAGUCUGAACCAGCCAUGCCGCGUGAAGGAUUAAGGCCCUCUGGGUUGUAAACUUCUUUUAUCUGGGACGAAAAAAGGGUAUUCUUACUCACUUGACGGUACCAGAGGAAUAAGCACCGGCUAACUCCGUGCCAGCAGCCGCGGUAAUACGGAGGGUGCAAGCGUUAUCCGGAUUUACUGGGUUUAAAGGGUGCGUAGGUGGGUUUGUAAGUCAGUGGUGAAAUCUCCGAGCUUAACUCGGAAACUGCCAUUGAUACUAUAGAUCUUGAAUUAUCUGGAGGUAAGCGGAAUAUGUCAUGUAGCGGUGAAAUGCUUAGAUAUGACAUAGAACACCAAUUGCGAAGGCAGCUUACUACGGAUAUAUUGACACUGAGGCACGAAAGCGUGGGGAUCAAACAGGAUUAGAUACCCUGGUAGUCCACGCCCUAAACGAUGGAUACUCGACAUCAGCGAUACACUGUUGGUGUCUGNGNGAGANAUAGUAUCCACCGNGAGAGAGCGCGAGAGUUAGAAGUACAAUUAGAGUUAGAGNGNGAGAGNGCGAGACGACGACGAGGAGGAGG
rnacentral:rRNA from 1 species